CAGACAUUUGGGAGCAUUGGCCCUUGCAGUGUGAGUGAGGCAGAGAGGGUGUGACCUGCCUCAGCACCUGGAGACCCCACUCUGAAGGCUGGGGGCCACCACUGUGGCAGCUUCUCCCACCACCAUCAUCUCCCCAUCGCCAGGACAAGCACAUCAGGAGGAUAUGGCUCUGAUCUGAGCGAGGCAAUGGUAGCAUGGGUGUGGAGAGAAGACCUAUUGAGAAUCUGGGAGCGAGGAAUGAAAGAUGAGUUUACGACUCAAGGAAUGCAUGGAUACCAGCAGAUGCCCACAUCCCUGCAGUUCUUUCUCUGUCAGUAUCCUUGGAGGGGAAGUUUUCUCUGUCAGUCAUCUUAGAAGGAGAACUUGGACACGGUGGCUUUGGAUUAGGAGCCCUCCACAAAGGGCUCGUCUAGCCCAGCCUAGUGGGGGAAGCUUAGGGGGAGCGGCUACAAGACCAAAGGGGAGGAAACACCAGAAGCCACAGAGGAAGGAGCAGGUGCUGAGAGAGAGAAAUGCUGCUGGCCUCCAGGCAACAAUCAAAAUUAAGGAAAUGCUCAAAUAAAUGACAGGAUGGGGGCAUCUGGAAAGAACACAGGAACCAACCUGGGGGAGCCCUCAGUGGCCAAAGCUGGAACAAUCUGAGCAAUACAAUAAAUAAUGUAGUGUUGGGUUGUUACCCAAAACAUAAAAAUUGGUGUUUGAAUA